rnacentral:rRNA from 1 species
AACGGCGAGUGAAGCGGCACAGCUCAAUUUGAAAGCUGGCCUUCGGGUCCGCAUUGUAAUUUGUAGAGGAUGCUUUGGGUGAAACGCCAGUCUAAGUUCCUUGGAACAGGACGUCAUAGAGGGUGAGAAUCCCGUAUGUGACUGGAAAUGUUAACCUAUGUAAAGCUCCUUCGACGAGUCGAGUUGUUUGGGAAUGCAGCUCUAAAUGGGAGGUAAAUUUCUUCUAAAGCUAAAUAUUGGCGAGAGACCGAUAGCGCACAAGUAGAGUGAUCGAAAGAUGAAAAGCACUUUGGAAAGAGAGUUAAAAAGCACGUGAAAUUGUUGAAAGGGAAGCGCUUGCAAUCAGACUUGUUUAAACUGUUCGGCCGGUCUUCUGACCGGUUUACUCAGUUUGGACAGGCCAGCAUCAGUUUCGGCGGCCGGAUAAAGGCUCUGGGAAUGUGGCCUUCACUUCGGUGAAGGUGUUAUAGCCCAGGGUGUAAUACGGCCAGCCGGGACUGAGGUCCGCGCUUCGGCUAGGAUGCUGGCGUAAUGGUUGUAAGCGACCCGUCUUGAAACACGGAACCA